rnacentral:rRNA from 1 species
GACGAACGCUGGCGGCGUGCUUAACACAUGCAAGUCGAACGGAAAGGCCCUGCUUUUGUGGUGUGCUCGAGUGGCGAACGGGUGAGUAACACGUGAGUAACCUGCCCUUGACUUUGGUAUAACUUCAGGAAACUGGGGCUAAUACCGGAUAGGAGCUCCUGCUGCAUGGUGGGGGUUGGAAAGUUUCGGCGGUUGGGGAUGGACUCGCGGCUUAUCAGCUUGUUGGUGGGGUAGUGGCUUACCAAGGCUUUGACGGGUAGCCGGCCUGAGGGGGUGACCGGCAACAUUGGGACUGAGAUACGGCCCAGACUCCUACGGGAGGCAGCAGUGGGGAAUAUUGCACAAUGGGCGGAAGCCUGAUGAAGCAACGCCGCGUGCGGGAUGACGGCCUUCGGGUUGUAAACCGCUUUCGCCUGUGACGAAGCGUGAGUGACGGUAAUGGGUAAAGAAGCACCGGCUAACUACGUG